rnacentral:lncRNA from 1 species
GGAUAUAAAUUAUAUCUGUAUUAUAUAUAAUAUUUAUUUUAAAGGGUCAAAUAACAACAUGAUUUGGUGAAAUGUCAUGUAAAAAUUGUGUCAUUUUGUUUAUCACUUUAUUAUCUUAAUUUUUUACAUGAGUUUUAAACCUGUAUGCAUUCUAAUUCAAUAUAGAGGGAUGGAUGGAUGGAUGGAUAGAUAGAUGUAUACUUUAUUGAUCCCCAGGGGAAAUUUGUAGCUGCUUUCAUGAGAUGGUGCUUCUCUUGACUAUGUAGGUGCUUGGAGCUGCGUGACGUCUGUGAGCUUUGAUAGUCUGUUAUCGGAGGAUUUGAACGGCAUUUAGCUGCUGGCCUGGCUCAAUAAAUCCCUACGUACCUGCUUCACUAAGGUGGACCCGAAGUGCACAGUCCGUGCCUGUGGAGGCGCUACUGAGAAGGGAUGUUCCUGCCUGUCUGAAGUUCCUGCAGUCCUUCAAGGCCUUCUUUGAUAGGCAAACCGCGGGCAGGACGAACACUCUGAAGGGCAGGAAAGGACGCAGCAUAGGGCCUGUUGCCCCAGGAGAAACUACGACUGUGACAACGGACGACAAAGCACUGGACCAACCAAAGGCACUGACGAAGAGGCUGGGGAAAAACGACUGACGAAGUGCAUGGCCUACCAAAGACGACCA